UACGGGAGGCAGCAGUGGGGAAUAUUGCACAAUGGGCGCAAGCCUGAUGCAGCCAUGCCGCGUGUAUGAAGAAGGCCUUCGGGUUGUAAAGUACUUUCAGUCGUGAGGAAGGUGUUAAGGUUAAUAACCUUAGCAAUUGACGUUAGCGACAGAAGAAGCACCGGCUAACUCCGUGCCAGCAGCCGCGGUAAUACGGAGGGUGCGAGCGUUAAUCGGAAUUACUGGGCGUAAAGGGCACGCAGGCGGUUAAUUAAGUUGGAUGUGAAAUCCCCGGGCUUAACCUGGGAAUGGCAUUCAAGACUGGUUAGCUAGAGUCUUGUAGAGGGGGUAGAAUUCCAUGUGUAGCGGUGAAAUGCGUAGAGAUGUGGAGGAAUACCAGUGGCGAAGGCGGCCCCUGGGACAAAGACUGACGCUCAUGUGCGAAAGCGUGGGGAGCGAAACAGGGAUUAGAUACC
rnacentral:rRNA from 1 species